rnacentral:rRNA from 1 species
AUUGAACGCUGGCGGCAGGCUUAACACAUGCAAGUCGAGCGGGGGAAGGUAGCUUGCUACUGGACCUAGCGGCGGACGGGUGAGUAAUGCUUAGGAAUCUGCCUAUUAGUGGGGGACAACAUCUCGAAAGGGAUGCUGAUACCGCAUACGUCCUACGGGAGAAAGCAGGGGAUCGUCGGACCUUGCGCUAAUAGAUGAGCCUAAGUCGGAUUAGCUAGUUGGUGGGGUAAAGGCCUACCAAGGCGACGAUCUGUAGCGGGUCUGAGAGGAUGAUCCGCCACACUGGGACUGACACACGGCCCAGACUCCUACGGGAGGCAGCAGUGGGGAAUAUUGGACAAUGGGGGGAACCCUGAUCCAGCCAUGCCGCGUGUGUGAAGAAGGCCUUAUGGUUGUAAAGCACUUUAAGCGAGGAGGAGGCUACUUUAGUUAAUACCUAGAGAUAGUGGACGUUGCUCGCAGAAUAAGCACCGGCUAACUCUGUGCCAGCCGCCGCAGUAACAC